AACGAACGCUGGCGGCGCGCUUAACACAUGCAAGUCGAACGAGAAGGCGUAGCAAUACGCUUGUACAGUGGCGAACGGGUGAGUAAUACGUGGGCGACCUACCCUCGAGUGGGAAGUAACCCGCCGAAAGGCGGGCUAAUGCCGCGUACGCUUCCAUCUUUAUGGAGGUGGAAGGAAAGCCGUGCCGUGGGCACGGCGCUCAAGGAUGGGCUCACGUCCUAUCAGCUUGUUGGAGGGUUAACGGCCUACCAAGGCUCCGACGGGUAGCUGGUCUGAGAGGAUGAUCAGCCACACUGGC
rnacentral:rRNA from 1 species